GACGAACGCUGGCGGCGUGCUUAACACAUGCAAGUCGAACGGAAAGGCCCUGCUUUUGUGAGGUGCUCGAGUGGCGAACGGGUGAGUAACACGUGAGUAACCUGCCCUUGACUUUGGGAUAACUUCAGGAAACUGGGGCUAAUACCGGAUAGGAGCUCCUGCUGCAUGGUGGGGGUUGGAAAGUUUCGGCGGUUGGGGAUGGACUCGCGGCUUAUCAGCUUGUUGGUGGGGUAGUGGCUUACCAAGGCUUUGGCGGGUAGCCGGCCUGAGAGGGUGACCGGCCACAUUGGGACUGAGAUACGGCCCAGACUCCUACGGGAGGCAGCAGUGGGGAAUAUUGCACAAUGGGCGGAAGCCUGAUGCAGCAACGCCGCGUGCGGGAUGACGGCCUUCGGGUUGUAAACCGCUUUCGCCUGUGACGAAGCGUGAGUGACGGUAAUGGGUAAAGAAGCACCGGCUAACUACGUG
rnacentral:rRNA from 1 species